CUCCAAUCCAAGGGCUCUAUGUUCUCCCCGUUACUGCAGAACCUACUUCUCCUACCACUGCUCUUCAAGAGGAAAAAACAGAGACAAUUCCUCCUACCAUUGCUCAGCAAGAGGACAACACGGAGACAGUAGUAAGCUUGGACGAUGUCACCAUGUCCCCAGCAAAAGUAAAAUGCCCUUCUUGCAAGAAGACUGUCAGAACUGAGAUCUACUAUACACUGGGCAGCAAUGCCUUUCUCUUUUGCUGUCUCUUAUCUGUGGUAGGGUGCCUGGCCGGAUGUUGCCUGGUCCCCUUUUGUAUGAACCGCUUCAAAGAUGUCACCCACAAGUGUCCAUCCUGCCACAAAGAUAUAUGUUCAGUAAACAGAAUUUGAAGCAAAGAGUAAUACACUUAUUGAUCUGCAAUAACACACCUGUGGAAA